rnacentral:rRNA from 1 species
UCCGAAGGGGGCUAGCGUUGCUCGGAUUGCCUGGGCGUAAAGAGCUCGUAGGCGGUUUGUCGCGUCGAAUGUGAAAACCCGGGGCUCAACCCCGGGCCUGCAUUCGAUACGGGCAGACUAGAGUUCGGUAGGGGAGUCUGGAAUUCCUGGUGUAGCGGUGAAAUGCGCAGAUAUCAGGAGGAACACCGGUGGCGAAGGCGGGACUCUGGGCCGAUACUGACGCUGAGGAGCGAAAGCGUGGGGAGCAAACAGG